AUGAGCGAUGAAGAGGGAGCUAGGGUUGCCAACCUUCUAGGUUGUGAUGUGGGAUCUAUGCCUUUCACAUAUCUAGGACUUCCAAUGGGUACCUCCAGACCCACAAUUUAUGAUCUUUUGCCUCUUGUUGACCGUAUUGAGCGUCGGUUAUCCGCCUCCUCGUGUCUUCUAAAUCAAGGAAGUAGAUUGCAACUUCUUCAGUCGGUGCUUUGCUCAAUGCCAAUUUAUUUCCUAUGCACUCUAUCUCUCCCCAAGGGCAUUAUACAGCAGAUAGAGAGAAUCAUGCGUCAAUGCCUGUGGAGAGGCAACACGGACAAUCCUCAUCAAUCCCUAGCUGCAUGGGAUCGGGUCUGCCGACCAAAGAAAUGUGGGGGUUUGGGUGUGCUGAAUCUGGGACUCCAAAAUGAAGCAUUGUUAAUGAAGCAUCUUUUCAAGUUUUUUAACAGAAUGGAUGUGCCUUGGGUCACAUUAAUUUGGGACACAUACUAUGCUGCUUUGCCACCUCAGGUCACGCAGAGCUGUGGCUCUUUUUGGUGGAGAGAUGUCAUGAGCUUAUAUGCCAACUUCUGCAAGUUAGCUGUUCCACGAGUGCACAAGGGCAACACGGUGGUUUUUUGGCUUGAUCGAUGGCAGUUGGGUAAUAAUAUGGUUCUUUUGAGUGAGAAGUUUCCUAGGCUUCAUUCUUUUGUUAUUGAUGACACAGUCUCAGUCAGAGAAUUUAUGGAGCUUCCCGAGAUCUCAGAACAUUUCCAUCUGCCGCUGUCUCAAGAGGCUUAUUCUGAACUUUCUCAUCUCCAAGUAUUGCUGUCUUUGGUCAACCUGAAUGGGGACUGCAAGGAUAUUUGGAAGUGGCCAUCUAAAUCUGGGGAGUUUAAAUCAAAGUUGUAUUAUGAGUCUUGCUUCUCCCUUUUGGUAGUUGAUCCUAUCUUCAAAUGGAUAUGGAGGUCUGCUUGCACACUUAAGUUUAAAGUGUUUGGAUGGCUUCUCCUAAUGGACCGUUUGAAUACUAGGGAUAUGAUGCAACGCAGGAACUGGAUCAUUCAGGAUGAUUCGUGUGUUCUUUGCCUUUGUGCCUCACAUGAGGAUCGUACACACCUUUUCUUUGCUUGCAACUUCAGCCAAAGGGUUUGGAAUUACCUUGGGAUUUCCUGGAUCGCUCAACCAAACCAGAGUACAUAUGAGAUGGCUCUUUCUGCUAGGAGGGAUUUUGGUCAUCCUUUCUUCACUGAGGUGGUUUUUACUGCUACUUGGAAUAUCUGGACACAAAGGAAUGGGAAAAUCUUUAGGAAUGAGAGACCUUCCUUCAUUUCUUGGAGGAGGAAUUUCAUACAUGAUAUCUCUCUAUUAGCUCAUAGAAUCAAAUGUAAAUAUAAGGAUAGCUUAGUUCUUUGGAUAGCCUCUCUCUCAUAG
rnacentral:rRNA from 1 species